GGUGAGAUGGCUGAGUGGUAAGGCACCUAUCGUCUACGGACUUGACGAUCAGGAUCCGGAAGGGCGUGGGUUCGAAUCCCACUCUCAUCA